rnacentral:rRNA from 1 species
UACGGGGAGGGCAAGCGUUGUUCGGAAUUACUGGGCGUAAAGGGCUCGUAGGCGGCCAACUAAGUCGGACGUGAAAUCCCCAGGCUCAACCUGGGAACUGCGUCCGAUACUGGAUGGCUUGAAUCCGGGAGAGGGAUGCAGAAUUCCAGGUGUAGCGGUGAAAUGCGUAGAUAUCUGGAGGAAUACCGGUGGCGAAGGCGGCAUCCUGGACCGGCAUUGACGCUGAGGAGCGAAAGCCAGGGGAGCAAACGGG